GGGAUAGCAGCCGGCUCUGGAGCUCAAGCCCCAGGACUGGCACAAAAAGUAGAAGUAAUAAGUAAAAUAAAAGGAGCUAAAAGGAAGAUGAAUUCAAUUAGCUGCCAAAUCCUGCAGUAUUCACUUUAAACAUGAUCCCUUAACUAGUGGACUGGUCUUCAGUAUUCUGAAUAAAAUUCAACUGUGAACCCCAAAUUAUACUGAAAGAAACACCAUCAUGUUAUUUCCUGACCUCUUUUGGAUCCUUAUUGUUUAGCAGACCAAAUUCAAUCUGACCAUGAAAACACAUUUCAUAAUCAAAUGCUACCCUACAUAUACAUACUAAUCUGUCACCAGACAGCAGAAUUAACACCUUCUUCCACAGAGAUCAGAUUCUUUACAUCCCUCUCACAUCAUGCUGGUUCCUACCACCAAGUUUUUUCUCACAUUUUCAUUUCCGACAAGAAAUGUAUAGUGUUCUUCUAGAGAUGCUCUUCUGCAGAUACAAAUAGUCCAUAUUUACUCAAGUCUUACUUUCUCCAAGAAGCCUCACUCCUAUAUUGUUGAUUUGAAAAUGCCCCUAAACUAACAGAUUGAACUCAAACUACAAGUACAAAUAUUGUUUGGAUAUUGCUUGGGAUAGUGCUGUUUGUUUUUUUAACUAGGAAAGUAUUCCUAACAAGAUAAACUCAGAUCAUGUCAUCUUCCAACAAAUGAGCUCAGAACAACAGUAUUCAAACUAUUUGAAAAGCUAAGUUAUAAUCCUGAUUUUUUAAAAAUAAGGUAUUUUGUAAGUCAAAAGAAUUCUAAUACAAAUGAAAUAAUGUGAUGACUAGGGUUUGCUACAAAAUAAAGCAGGGCUUAGAGUAGGAGGAAUAAAGGUAAAAUAAGUGAGGUAUACGUGAAACCAAAUGGGCCAUGAGUUGAUAAUCUCUGAAGCUGAGUAAAAGCCACGUGUUUCAGACCUACUUUUGUAGUUGUUUAAAAUUUUUCACAUUAAGUUUUGACAUUUCACAAGUCUUAUUU